ACGACGCUGGCGGCGUGCUUAACACAUGCAAGUCGAACGGUAAGGCCCUUCGGGGUACACGAGUGGCGAACGGGUGAGUAACACGUGGGUGAUCUGCCCUGCACUUCGGGAUAAGCUUGGGAAACUGGGUCUAAUACCGGAUAGGACCACGGUCUGCAUGGAUUGUGGUGGAAAGCUUUUGCGGUGUGGGAUGGGCCCGCGGCCUAUCAGCUUGUUGGUGGGGUGAUGGCCUACCAAGGCGACGACGGGUAGCCGGCCUGAGAGGGUGUCCGGCCACACUGGGACUGAGAUACGGCCCAGACUCCUACGGGAGGCAGCAGUGGGGAAUAUUGCACAAUGGGCGCAAGCCUGAUGCAGCGACGCCGCGUGGGGGAUGACGGCCUUCGGGUUGUAAACCUCUUUCAGCAUCGACGAAGCGCAAGUGACGGUAGAUGCAGAAGAAGCACCGGCCAACUACGUG
rnacentral:rRNA from 1 species